GAGGACCUACGUAUUGUUAUAAACAAGCUGGUUCUGUUUAUAAUAAUGCGUAAAUAAUAAUAUUAUAUGAAGUUCUGGGUAAAUUUUUGAUAAUGACAUAAUUUAUCUAUAAGUCUUGACCAAAUCAUGUGCCAGCAGUCGCGGUAAGACAUGGAAGACAAGUGUUAUUCAUCUUAAACAGGUUUAAAGGGUACUUAGACAGUAAGCUAAGCCUGCACAAGGGACUGAUUUACUAGAGUUUUAUGGGAAAAGGAUAGGACGGUGAGUGGAGAGAUAAAAAGUUUUGAUACAACCUUGAUACUGACAGCGGCGAAAGCAACCUUUUAUGUAAAAACUGACGUUAAAGGACGAAGGCUAUAAUAAAAGAAUAGGAUUAGGUACCCUAGUAUUCGUAGCAGUAAAUGAUGAGUGUCAAAGGUAAGUAAUAUAGUUUACCUGUAAAUGAAAAUGUAAGCACUCCACCUUAAGAGUAAUACGGCAACGUAGGAACUGAAAUCAUUAGACCGUUUCUGAAACCAGUAGUGAAGUAUGUUAGUUAAAUUGAUGAUCCACAAAGAACCUUACCACAAUUUGAAUGGGUAUUAAAUAGAGUAUUUAUUUACUKUUUGAUAUUCACAGGAGUUGCACGGCUGUCUUCAGUUGAUAUCGUGAGAUUUUGGUUGGCUCCAUUUAAUCAACGUAAACCCUUACUUUAUUUUUUACAUAAAGUAGU
rnacentral:rRNA from 1 species